CCUACGGGCGGCAGCAGUGAGGAAUAUUGGUCAAUGGACGAGAGUCUGAACCAGCCAAGUAGCGUGAAGGAUGACUGCCCUAUGGGUUGUAAACUUCUUUUAUAUGGGAAUAAAACGUUCCACGUGUGGGAUUUUGUAUGUACCAUAUGAAUAAGGAUCGGCUAACUCCGUGCCAGCAGCCGCGGUAAUACGGAGGAUCCGAGCGUUAUCCGGAUUUAUUGGGUUUAAAGGGAGCGUAGGUGGGUUUUUAAGUCAGUUGUGAAAGUUUGCGGCUCAACCGUAAAAUUGCAGUUGAAACUGGCAGUCUUGAGUACAGUAGAGGUGGGCGGAAUUCGUGGUGUAGCGGUGAAAUGCUUAGAUAUCACGAAGAACUCCGAUUGCGAAGGCAGUUCACUGGAGUGAAACUGACACUGAGGCUCGAAAGUGUGGGUAUCAAACAGGAUUAGAUACCCCAGUAGUC
rnacentral:rRNA from 1 species